AUGCACGCUGGCGGCGUGCCUAAUACAUGCCAGUCGAGCGAACAGAUAAGGAGCUUGCUCCUUUGACGUUAGCGGCGGACGGGUGAGUAACACGUGGGUAACCUACCUAUAAGACUGGAAUAACUCCGGGAAACCGGGGCUAAUGCCGGAUAACAUUUAGAACCGCAUGGUUCUAAAGUGAAAGAUGGUUUUGCUAUCACUUAUAGAUGGACCCGCGCCGUAUUAGCUAGUUGGUAAGGUAACGGCUUACCAAGGCAACGAUACGUAGCCGACCUGAGAGGGUGAUCGGCCACACUGGAACUGAGACACGGUCCAGACUCCUACGGGAGGCAGCAGUAGGGAAUCUUCCGCAAUGGGCGAAAGCCUGACGGAGCAACGCCGCGUGAGUGAUGAAGGUCUUCGGAUCGUAAAACUCUGUUAUUAGGGAAGAACAAAUGUGUAAGUAACUGUGCACGUCUUGACGGUACCUAAUCAGAAAGCCACGGCUAACUACGUG
rnacentral:rRNA from 1 species